CUGCAUUUAACAGACCAAUAAUUGAUAUGAAAAUACACAAAUAUGAUUAUAUACUAAAAAUACAAAAUCUUUCGUGACACUAUUAAGAGGAGAUUGUCUAAAAAAAUGUACUUUCAAUGUAUGGCAAGUCGUUAUAUACUGAAUAAUUACAAAAGCCUUAUGGCAGAAAAACUUAACAGUAAAUGCCAAAAUAAAAUAAUUAAAUUCUUAGCGUGAUACUGUAUUAAGUCUUAGAAGAUUUCACAAAAUGGUACUAUCAUUAUCAACUGGAAGCAAACAAAAAAUUGUUUUAAGGUAAGUAAGGGGCAUAAUAUAAUUUCAAUACAUUCAAAUUUAACUUGACAUGUGUUUCAUGGUUCAUGAAAAUGAGUAAAACAAUUUCAAAGAUUUGGUCUAGUGUUACUUAAAUUUUCAUCUGUUAACUUUACUUGUGACAGAAGGACAUGUGCAUCACUAUAUACCUCCUUUUAAAAGUGGUGAAUACAAAAUAAUGCAUGAUGCUGUAGAAGUAUUCCUUUUCCGCCCCUUCAUUUAUUUUAUUUUCUAUAGAUGUAGAUUUAACUGCAAGAAUGUUUAUUUUUACAGCAAAAUUAUAUCAAAUUUUUAAAAUGUUUCAAUGGGGAGAUCCCAAGUAGUUAACACUCCUUAGAAAAGAGAUCUUUGGGUGAAUUUAAAUUUUUUUUUUACAGGAGAGCUUACACUAAAUCAGGUAGAAGUGAUAUCUUUGACAAACAUGCAUUUUUGUUUAUCAAUUGAAAUUAGUAUUUAACAGGUUUCUAACAACAUUAUUAUAAAUUAAGCAAAAACAACAAUCUGGUUAUGAAAAAAACUUUACUUUCUAUUGAGAUCAAGAAGUGCAAAAACUACAUAAAAUUUGUUGAACACUAUGCCUACAGCUAUAUAAUUACAUAUGUUUUGUUCCAUCUGUUUUAUACAUGUAAUAAAAUUUUAAAUAUUUUUUGUGACAAUACAGUAAUUUUUAUCAACUUUAUAAAUAGAGGAUACCUUUUAUUUUGCAUUCUUAAAAAAGCAGCUAUUUGAAAAAAAUUGUGAAAUAGAAGCUUCUUUGGUUUCUAGGUGUAUAAAUAAACUUUUUCAACUAUGGUAUACAUUGAUUAAUGACAUCAGUUAGGUCUUAUAUUGGCAACUGGGCGUCUUCAUGCUUCAAAUGACAAAAUAAUUAUGCCAGCUCAAAGUUGACCAAGCAUCACUGAUUCUUAUGUACAAUAUUCAACCUUUACUGCAGAAAAGUGUCAUCUUUUAUCAUUAUUUACAUUUAUCUUUUAUGAAUGCAAUAUAUAUAGCCAAUGUACAAACAAGUAUUUUAUGCCCAACAAAUACAAAUUGACGUCAAGAAAGCUUACACGGUUGAAGACCAAAUACUUUAAUGGAAUGAUUACGAUUGGAAUUGCGGGAUAUUGAGAAUUAAUGUUUCAUCGAGGUAAUAGGUAUUUUUAAUUUUUUUCAGAAAAUGGGGAUGAGAUAUUAAAAAAUUUCCAUUUGUUCUUUUACAUAAUUCUGUUGUGUUUAAAUAAGAGAAAAACAGAACUUUAUGAAAACGGAGGACCUCCAAAUCUUUAACAUGUACUAACAUUAUUACAUAGCAUUUUCCUAAACAAACUGGACUAAAACUUGGUAAUGAAACAAUCGAUAGGCGAACAUUAUCACUUGGGACUUUAUCAAUAUAUAAUACAAACAUGGAAUAAAAAUCUAAAUAAACACAUUUUACAUGCACCAAUAUUAAUUAUGCAACAACAAAAUCUGCACCAAUUUGUGACCUAAAUGCAUAUUGUGACUUCUAAAAUAUAUUUUUUUCCCUGAAUAAAUUACAGAAUUUCCAAAAGAGGCGUUCUAUAAGUAAGAAAAGCUCUUGAAUAAAAAUAACAAGAGGAAUAUUACAUCAAUAAGAGCCUCCCUAUUUUCACAACACUAUUUUACCAAAAAAUAUGCAAAAUAUAUAAGUAAACUGAAUAUUUAAAAUUUCACAAUACAGUAGCAUCUUAAACAUAUAUUUGAGAGCGGUUUGACAAAUAU
rnacentral:lncRNA from 1 species